GCCUCUGUGGCGCAACGGUAGCGCAACGGUUUUGUAAACCGUCGGUUGUCGGUUCGAAUCCGACCGGAGGCU
rnacentral:tRNA from 1 species